GCGUUUCUUUAAGUAAAAAAAGGAGGGACAGAUAAGAUAGUUUGGUCAGAGCACAGGAUGGAGGGACAGACAGACAGGAUGGACGUGGACCACAGCCAGGAGGAAGAAGGGGGAGGGAAACGAGGAGGGGAGGGAGCAGAGGGGGAGAAAUCAGAGGGGUUGAAGGGACAAAGGUGGGUUAGUGGGGAAGGAUGCACCCCAGACAACGCUCUCUCUUGGACUUUCUUUCUACUUCAGAUACUUUCUUAAAAAUGUAUUUCUCAUUGCUAAACUUUUUCUGUUUUUCUAAAAAGAUUUUCAGUCAUUUGUUUGCUUUACUGUAUCUCUCCUCUGUCGCUCUCCUGUCCCAGGCUGCACUAACAGAGGAUGCCCCCACAGUGAGUGUCAGAUUGCUGGUAUAAAGUGUGUUAACCAGGUCUCUGCAGCCUGCUGUUGGUGCUCUUGUCCCCUCCUGCUGCUCCAUUACCUUUCUUCUACUCUGUAUGUAUGUGUGUGUGUGCGCGCACGCGCAUGUGUGUGUGUCUGUGGCUCCAGUUUCCUACAGCACUCCUGCUGUAAUUCAGGGACACAGGGCUAAAUAUCAGCCACAUACAUGUGGUGUGUGCACAUGUAUUCAGCUAAGCUUUUUAUAUCUGGUAUGUUUAUAAAGAGAAGAGCUGCAACUCAUUAUUUUAGUAUAUUAUCAAAAUCAACUUGUUGAUAUUUGAAACCCACUUGAAAUAGGUAAAUCAGUUGUCUGUUAAAACAGUUAUGAUCAUUGCCUUGCAAUGCAGUUGAAAGCAUGGAUUUCUUCUAAGGUUUUAAAGGUUGUUGCGUUGUGGAGAACUUCAACAUUCAACACUUGAGAGUCAGCUUCUAAACAAAAGGAAGCCCUCCUUUUCAUUAUGCCAAGGUUUGCUUGGUUGACUUUAAAUUCGAUUGUUUAACAACAAAGCAUACCUUGUGAAUGCUGUGCCGUUUAGCAGCCAACUCUUAGAUCUCAGAUGUUAGUGCCUCUCACCGGCUCUUCAGUGCAUCACUCAGAAGACUUCAAAGGAUCCAUGAUUUCAACUUCGUUACCAUGCAACAAUAACAAAGCUUUUAUGGAAAAAUAAAGAUGACAAAAUGGAUUCCAUAUCUUGAAAAAUGUUCAAAUCUCUUCAAGUUGAUUUUGAUACUGAACUGACAUGAACUGUAACCAGCGGCUUUGUAGAGUCUACAAAACAGGGCUGCAGGCUGAAUGAUUUUGUCAGUUUAUUCCCUGCAUGCCCUAUAUGAAUUAAUUUUGUUCUGUCUCUCCUGCUUUGGUAAAUUUCUGCUUUUUAAAGCUACCCGUAAAUGACUUUCCUGUCAUUCUUUUCUCCUGCUACCACCCUCUGCUGACCACUCUUGUUUGUGAGAUGCUGUAAUCAGCCAGGCUAAUCUCUACAAAAAGGUCAAUGCAGACACUGCCUGCUUGUUUGUUAGUCUGCCGCUUUGUCUGUACACCUGCCUAUCUUGAAGUCCUAUCUCAUCUCUGAGUGUGUUUGCAAGAGCUGGCUUGUGACUGAAAGGUUGUCAGUAAGGUUGGAAGUAAGAGUAAAAACACUCUCCCCACUCAACUGAUACUUAUUUAUGAAAGACAUCAUUUUCUAUUCACAAAUUACAUGUAUAUUCACAUUUGUUUUUCUACAAAUAUUAAUCAUAAUAUUACUUAUUUUGCCAGUGCUACAUUGAAAGCAAAAACCCCCUAUAGGUUUAGCUCUCUGAGUAAAGAUAGUCAAGAGAUUUAGAAAGAGACAGUGUUCUCUGGGGUGAUCUAAUCUACAAGCCGUGACUAAUCUCAUCAAUGUAAGAGGUAUGGAUGAAAACAGUUCAAACAUAUCUUUGUCAGUCAUGAUAAUAACAGUCACAUAUUAAUAAUCAUAUCAAAAGUAGCUAUACUUCAGAAAGCGUACAUUUCUAACAUUCAUUUUAAUCAUCAGGGUAUAUUCAUUCUCCUCAUCAACGUCAUCAAGUCAAAUUAGAGCUGUGAUUAGUGCCCCGAGAGGAGAGGCAGGCUCACCUGACUUGCACACUCCCAGCCACAUGUGUGCACCUGGUAGAUCGGGUUUCCGCUGAUUGGGAGAAGCCAGAGACAACCGUGGAUAGUCCCAGGAAUGUGGUCUGGGGGGAAGGGGCUUGAAAAGGGACCUAUCCACCCGCUGUCUGUCACUUUUCCCUCAUAAACGGAAAAACCUUUGUGUAAAUAACAAGGGAUUAAACUACAGUGACUGGGGUUUUGAAGGACUUUUUGUUUGUACCACACACAGGGAUUCUUUAACAAUGAGGGAGCCCGUGAAGGAGGAAAUGGAUGCUGCAAAUCACCUUCAGGCAUCCACGAUUUCAGCCCGCUCGUUAUGUUGAUGAUGCCAGAGCCGCUCACAGAAGCACAAACUGUCUGCUACAACCUCCACCUCGCCCUCCUCCACAUCCCCAAAUACACACACACUAGUACACACAUCUUUACAAAGCACAACUGUAAAUUGGUGUACACACACACACACGCACACACACACAAUUCUGAAUAUCCCUACAGAGAUGACUAUGUGACAGAGCAGAUUUGUUUUUGUACAUGUGAUGACCCUGGUGUGAUGACCCAUGUCUGCAGAAAAAUUCUGUCUUCAUCAGCAUUGUGUGUCUAUGUCUGUAUGUGUUUAUGAGUACUUAUGUAAUUGAAAUCCACUUGGGUGAAUAGGUCAAUAGGUGAAGCCACUACGGGUCUCCUCUGGGCCACUUCACUUCACUCUGCUAUAAUUUCCUGCUCACUAUUUUACAGUAACAGCUCCCUGUAGUAUAUUCUGUUCCAGCUCUGUCCACCUUGACCACUUCUACUUCACUGCUCUUUACAAUUUUUUAUUACUAUUAUUACUAUUAUUAUUGGCUUAUUUGAGAGGGUAGGGGAGUGAUUUAAAGCAACGAGAGUGGGGUAAACAAAUAUUGUUCCAUUGUAAUCAUGUUUGGUAAAUGUAAUCAAAAAGGUAUAAAAUCCCCCAAAACCUUGGUGUGAACUUUGAUGAAGCCAUCAAGUUUUAUAAACAAAUUAACCGAAAAGUGAAAAGCCAGACAUUUCAGCUUAGCGUCACUUCCAAAAUUUAAGCCUCUCUUAAUUCAAGAUCAGGAGAAAGUCAUCCAUUCAUUCCUCUCCUCCCACCUGGACUAUUGUAAAUCGGUUUACACCGUCAUUAGUCACUCAUCCUUGUCCCACCUACAGUAAGAGCAGAAUUCUGCUGCUUAGCUUUUGUCUGACUUCUUUAAAGGAGACAGCGUUUCCCUCAUAUCUGCUUCCUCUUACUGGCUGCCAGUUUAUUUCAGAAGUGACUUUAAGAUUGUGUUGCUUGUUUUUAAAGUUCUGGUCUUCUUACAUUAUCUAACCUCCUACACUGCCACUGGACUUUUUCCCCUCGCACCCUGUUUACCUCCAUUUUCUAUACUGUGCCACAAGUGAGCAAUAACGCAUUAAUGGAUAGAGUGGAGGUGAUGAAUGCUGCAAAGCAGUGUAAAAUGGCAUUCUUCAUCUCAAAAGGGACAAACGGGCCAUCACAUUUUAUAUAAUGGCCAUUUAGAAAGAAAUAAAGA